rnacentral:misc_RNA from 1 species
UGUUCAAACAUCGGUUGGCAAACGAACUCACGGAAAUUUUAAACGCUCGAGUGCAGUUAGGGUUAAGGUUCGUUUACUUUAUUAGCGCGCAUGAAGCGCUUUUAAGAAGAUUUUCUUACAGUAAAAAAGUCAUUUGUUAGAUUCAACCAAUUGUGACGAUAUUCACUUAAGAAUGAGAACGGAAUCGCCCAUCGUGCAGCCAUCUUUUUCGAUGUAAUUUCCUCAACGUGACCAUUUUUCGAGCAGACGAUUCUUUAAGUAGUGCAAAAAUAAAAAGACGAAGGAUGUCAAUGUCUACGUUUGACUUGAAGAAACCCAAAUCCUUUAUUCAUUAGGUCAACUGAUACCUGGAUCGCUUCUCUAAAACAUUCGAUAAGCGAAAGUUUGGGAGAGAGUUUUAGCUGAAAGAUAUGGAUCUCUGAGAAUAACAAUGUUACCAAAGUGUGCCUUACCUGGCUUAGCGGUUAUUACGUUUCAUUUCAUCUUGGUGGCAUUUGCAGAACAAAGUUUUGAAAUACUAAAUGAUUUUUCGCUGCUAGCACCAGAGACACCAUCAGAAUCCGUUCCAUCAUUCAAAACUAAGGAAGUGACAUCUACAAGUACUAGAGAAAUUUACGAUCAAAUAUCACCAUCUCGAGAAUCCACGACUCCU